GACGUAGGGCGCGAGCGUUGUCCGGAUUUAUUGGGCGUAAAGAGCUCGUAGGCGGCUUGUCGCGUCGACUGUGAAAACCCGUGGCUCAACUGCGGGCCUGCAGUCGAUACGGGCAGGCUAGAGUUCGGUAGGGGAGACUGGAAUUCCUGGUGUAGCGGUGAAAUGCGCAGAUAUCAGGAGGAACACCGGUGGCGAAGGCGGAUCUCUGGGCCAUUACUGACGCUGAGGAGCGAAAGCGUGGGGAGCGAACAGG
rnacentral:rRNA from 1 species